rnacentral:rRNA from 1 species
GAUGAACGCUGGCGGCGUGCCUAAUACGUGCAAGUCGAGCGAACAGACGAGGAGCUUGCUCCUCUGACGUUAGCGGCGGACGGGUGAGUAACACGUGGAUAACCUACCUAUAAGACUGGGAUAACUUCGGGAAACCGGAGCUAAUACCGGAUAAUAUAUUGAACCGCAUGGUUCAAUAGUUAAAGACGGUUUUGCUGUCACUUAUAGAUGGAUCCGCGCCGCAUUAGCUAGUUGGUAAGGUAACGGCUUACCAAGGCAACGAUGCGUAGCCGACCUGAGAGGGUGAUCGGCCACACUGGAACUGAGACACGGUCCAGACUCCUACGGGAGGCAGCAGUAGGGAAUCUUCCGCAAUGGGCGAAAGCCUGACGGAGCAACGCCGCGUGAGUGAUGAAGGUCUUCGGAUCGUAAAACUCUGUUAUUAGGGAAGAACAAAUGUGUAAGUAACUAUGCACGUCUUGACGGUACCUAAUCAGAAAGCCACGGCUAACUACGUG